UACAGAGGUCCCGAGCGUUGUUCGGAUUCACUGGGCGUAAAGGGUGCGUAGGCGGUCGGGUAAGUCUGACGUGAAAUCUCCAAGCUCAACUUGGAAAUGGCGUUGGAUACUAUUUGGCUUGAGGAACGGAGGGGAGACUGGAAUUCUCGGUGUAGCAGUGAAAUGCGUAGAUAUCGAGAGGAACACCAGUGGCGAAGGCGAGUCUCUGGACGUUUCCUGACGCUGAGGCACGAAAGCCAGGGGAGCAAACGGG
rnacentral:rRNA from 1 species